rnacentral:lncRNA from 1 species
GGACUUUUGGAUUAACUUAAAAUUUAUAAUUUUAGCUUGUUACCAAAUGAAAGGAAAGUGCAGUAUUAGAAUCACUGAGGUACAUGUUACGGUGUACAUGUACAUGUACAUGUAGGUGCAGAUGUCCUGUAAAAAAAAAACUGGUAUCAAAGUAAGUUCAUAUGUAGAAUUGUAUUUGAUUUAAAUAAUUUAAUGUUAUCUAUUCAAAACUUUUUCAAGUGUAAUUGUACAUGUAUACAGUUGUUUAUUUUUCUGUCAUUUUGAUGUCAAGUAUGCAUCGAGGAAUCCUUACCAGUCUCAUCUGCUUCUGCUGCACACGCAUGAGAAAUGAGAAGCUCAAAUAAUUAUAGCAUUUGCAUCACAGACCGUAUAUUAUGAAUUGUAUAUUUAACAUGAUCAAAAGUUGUUCUUGUCUUGAAUAUAUACAUUAAAUAUUUGCCACUGUACCUUAAAAUAAACAAGAAAAAUUAAUUUGAUAAUUUUCUUUUAACCGUAGAGCGUUUUUAAAGAACUAGAAUAUUGAUAUAAGGAGAUGGCGUAUGAUCCUCAAUGUGACAACUAUCAAUUAAAAAACUAAAGAACGAAGAUAAAACAUUUACUGGUCACUGUUCAGCAAUGAACAAUAAUCAAAAUCCAUACCAUAAAGUAACCUUCAACUUGUUUAAGAAUGCAAAAUGUGAACCAUUGAAAAAUUAAAACUACAUAUUGUAUGGCAGACAUUAAUUAAUAUGUUUAUAGAAUGAUUGUAAGGUGUUUAUAUUUGUCUUGCAGGUGCAAUUCUUGCCAGAUUUUUAUAAAACUUAUACUAUACUUUAAUAUCAGCAAUAUCUUGGUCAAGUUCACUACUUUUGACCGAUUGACUAUUUUCAAAAGAGUUAUGCCCCUUGAAAAUAUUAAAUAAAGGAAAAUGGCCUUGUAAGCGCUCUCAUCGGUUCAAUUUUUUAUAAAACACAUAGUAUACUGUAAGUAAUGCCCUUGAAGGUCUGUUUGAAAUAUUUCGUAUACAAGAAAAAGAAGUUUUUUUCCAAGCACACUUUUUUAUUUAUAAUUUUAUUCAAGUGCCUUUUUUUAAUUAUUGCCCCUUGCUAAAUAAAAUAUGUGCAACUCAGUGGACAUUGAAACUCUGUUCUGUUAUUUUUUAUUUUCAGGAACUGAAAAGUAAAGAAACAGAACCAAAGAACAUUCAUUUUAAAUUAAUACAAUAUUGAACUCAAAA